CAGGUCACUCCUACGGGAGGCAGCAGUGGGGAAUAUUGGACAAUGGGCGCAAGCCUGAUCCAGCCAUGCCGCGUGGGUGAUGAAGGCCCUAGGGUUGUAAAGCUCUUUCGGCGGGGACGAAACGGUCCGUGACAACACCACGGACUAAUGACAGUACUCGCAGAAGAAGCACCGGCUAACUACGUGCCAGCAGCCGCGGUAAUACGUAGGGUGCAGGCGUUAAUCGGAAUUACUGGGCGUAAAGCGUGCGCAGGCGGCCAACUAAGUCGGAUGUGAAAUCCCCAGGCUCAACUUGGGAACUGCAUCCGAUACUGGUUGGCUUGAAUCCGGGAGAGGGAUGCGGAAUUCCAGGUGUAGCGGUGAAAUGCGUAGAUAUGCGGAGGAACACCGAUGGCGAAGGCAGUCCCCUGGGCCUGUACUGACGCUCAUGCACGAAAGCGUGGGGAGCAAACAGGAUUAGAUACCCUGGUAGUCCACGCCCUAAACGAUGUCGACUGGGUGUUGGGGAAGCGAUUUCCCAGUACCGUAGCUAACGCGUGAAGUCGACCGCCUGGGGAGUACGGCCGCAAGGUUAAAACUUAAAGGAAUUGACGGACUCCUACGGGAGGCAGCAGUGGG
rnacentral:rRNA from 1 species